rnacentral:rRNA from 1 species
GCGUUCUGUAAGCCUGUGAAGGUGGCCUGUGAGGGUUGCUGGAGGUAUCAGAAGUGCGAAUGCUGACAUAAGUAACGAUAAAGCGGGUGAAAAGCCCGCUCGCCGGAAGACCAAGGGUUCCUGUCCAACGUUAAUCGGGGCAGGGUGAGUCGACCCCUAAGGCGAGGCCGAAAGGCGUAGUCGAUGGGAAACAGGUUAAUAUUCCUGUACUUGGUGUUACUGCGAAGGGGGGACGGAGAAGGCUAUGUUGGCCGGGCGACGGUUGUCCCGGUUUAAGCGUGUAGGCUGGUUUUCCAGGCAAAUCCGGAAAACCAAGGCUGAGGCGUGAUGACGAGGCACUACGGUGCUGAAGCGACAAAUGCCCUGCUUCCAGGAAAAGCCUCUAAGCAUCAGGUAACAUCAAAUCGUACCCCAAACCGACACAGGUGGUCAGGUAGAGAAUACCAAGGCGCUUGAGAGAACUCGGGUGAAGGAACUAGGCAA